rnacentral:rRNA from 1 species
GACGAACGCUGGCGGCGUGCUUAACACAUGCAAGUCGAACGGAAAGGCCCUGCUUUUGUGGGGUGCUCGAGUGGCGAACGGGUGAGUAACACGUGAGUAACCUGCCCUUGACUUUGGGAUAACUUCAGGAAACUGGGGCUAAUACCGGAUAGGAGCUCCUGCUGCAUGUUGGGGGUUGGAAAGUUUCGGCGGUUGGGUAUGGACUCGCGGCUUAUCAGCUUGUUGGUGGGGUAGUGGCUUACCAAGGCUUUGACGGGUAGCCGGCCUGAGAGGGUUACCGGCCACAUUGGGACUGAGAUACGGCCCAGACUCCUACGGGAGGCAGCAGUGGGGAAUAUUGCACAAUGGGCGGAAGCCUGAUGCAGCAACGCCGCGUGCGGGAUGACGGCCUUCGGGUUGUAAACCGCUUUCGCCUGUGACGAAGCGUGAGUGACGGUAAUGGGUAAAGAAGCACCGGCUAACUACGUG